rnacentral:rRNA from 1 species
GUAGGGAAUAUUGGACAAUGGGGGGAACCCUGAUCCAGCCAUGCCGCGUGGAGGAAGACUGCCCUCUGGGUUGUAAACUCCUUUUAUAUGGGAAGAACCGUCCUCAUUAAUGAGUGACCUGACGGUACCAUAGGAAUAAGCACCGGCUAACUCCGUGCCAGCAGCCGCGGUAAUACGGAGGGAGCAAGCGUUAUCCGGAUUCACUGGGUUUAAAGGGUGCGUAGGCGGAUAAAUAAGUAAGUGGUGAAAUCAACGGGCUCAACCUGUUAACUGCCAUUGAUACUAUGUAUCUUGAAUAUGAGAGAGGUAGGCGGAAUGUUGCAUGUAGCGGUGAAAUGCUUAGAUAUGCUACGGAACACCGAUUGCGAAGGCAGCUUACUAUUUCGUAAUUGACGCUGAGGCACGAAAGCGUGGGUAGCGAACAGGAUUAGAAACCCGAGUAGUCC